rnacentral:rRNA from 1 species
CCUACGGGUGGCAGCAGUGGGGAAUAUUGGGCAAUGGGCGCAAGCCUGACCCAGCAACGCCGCGUGAAGGAAGAAGGCUUUCGGGUUGUAAACUUCUUUUGUCAGGGAAGAGUAGAAGACGGUACCUGACGAAUAAGCCACGGCUAACUACGUGCCAGCAGCCGCGGUAAUACGUAGGUGGCAAGCGUUGUCCGGAUUUACUGGGUGUAAAGGGCGUGUAGCCGGGUUGACAAGUCAGAUGUGAAAUCCUGCGGCGUAACCGCAGAACUGCAUUUGAAACUGUUGUUCUUGAGUACUGUAGAGGCAGGCGGAAUUCCUAGUGUAGCGGUGAAAUGCGUAGAUAUUAGGAGGAACACCAGUGGCGAAGGCGGUCUGCUGGACAGCAACUGACGGUGAGGCGCGAAAGCGUGGGGAGCAAACAGGAUUAGAUACCCGAGUAGUC